rnacentral:rRNA from 1 species
GCCGCCCGCUUUCUUCUUUCUUAACACAUGCAAGUCGAACGGAAAGGCCCAAGCUUGCUUGGGUACUCGAGUGGCGAACGGGUGAGUAACACGUGGGUGAUCUGCCCUGCACUUCGGGAUAAGCCUGGGAAACUGGGUCUAAUACCGGAUAGGACCACUUCUUGGAUGUUGUGGUGGAAAGUUUUCUCGGUGUGGGAUGAGCUCGCGGCCUAUCAGCUUGUUGGUGGGGUAAUGGCCUACCAAGGCGUCGACGGGUAGCCGGCCUGAGAGGGUGUACGGCCACAUUGGGACUGAGAUACGGCCCAGACUCCUACGGGAGGCAGCAGUGGGGAAUAUUGCACAAUGGGCGCAAGCCUGAUGCAGCGACGCCGCGUGGGGGAUGACGGCCUUCGGGUUGUAAACUCCUUUCGCUAGGGACGAAGCGUUUUUGUGACGGUACCUGGAGAAGAAGCACCGGCUAACUACGUG